CCUACGGGAUGCAGCAGUGAGGAAUAUUGGUCAAUGGGCGAGAGCCUGAACCAGCCAAGUCGCGUGAGGGAGUACUGCCCUAUGGGUUGUAAACCUCUUUUGUCGGGGAGCAAAAGCCGGACGUGUCCGGCUGUGAGAGUACCCGAAGAAAAAGCAUCGGCUAACUCCGUGCCAGCAGCCGCGGUAAUACGGAGGAUGCGAGCGUUAUCCGGAUUUAUUGGGUUUAAAGGGUGCGCAGGCGGAUUUUUAAGUCAGCGGUAAAAUCGUGGGGCUCAACCCCAUCCAGCCGUUGAAACUGGGGAUCUAGAGUGUGCGAGAGGUAUGCGGAAUGCGUGGUGUAGCGGUGAAAUGCAUAGAUAUCACGCAGAACCCCGAUUGCGAAGGCAGCAUACCGGUGCACAACUGACGCUCAGGCACGAAAGCGUGGGUAUCGAACAGGAUUAGAUACCCGAGUAGUC
rnacentral:rRNA from 1 species